GCAGUCGAACGGCAGCAUGAUCUAGCUUGCUAGAUUGAUGGCGAGUGGCGAACGGGUGAGUAAUACAUCGGAACGUGCCCUGUAGUGGGGGAUAACUAGUCGAAAGAUUAGCUAAUACCGCAUACGACCUGAGGGUGAAAGUGGGGGACCGCAAGGCCUCAUGCUAUAGGAGCGGCCGAUGUCUGAUUAGCUAGUUGGUGAGGUAAAGGCUCACCAAGGCGACGAUCAGUAGCUGGUCUGAGAGGACGAUCAGCCACACUGGGACUGAGACACGGCCCAGACUCCUACGGGAGGCAGCAGUGGGGAAUUUUGGACAAUGGGCGAAAGCCUGAUCCAGCAAUGCCGCGUGUGUGAAGAAGGCCUUCGGGUUGUAAAGCACUUUUGUCCGGAAAGAAAUGGCUCUGGUUAAUACCUGGGGUCGAUGACGGUACCGGAAGAAUAAGGACCGGCUAACUACGUGCCAGCAGCCGCGGUAAUACGUAGGGUCCAAGCGUUAAUCGGAAUUACUGGGCGUAAAGCGUGCGCAGGCGGUUGUGCAAGACCGAUGUGAAAUCCCCGAGCUUAACUUGGGAAUUGCAUUGGUGACUGCACGGCUAGAGUGUGUCAGAGGGGGGUAGAAUUCCACGUGUAGCAGUGAAAUGCGUAGAGAUGUGGAGGAAUACCGAUGGCGAAGGCAGCCCCCUGGGAUAACACUGACGCUCAUGCACGAAAGCGUGGGGAGCAAACAGGAUUAGAUACCCUGGUAGUCCACGCCCUANACGAUGUCAACUAGUUGUUGGGGAUUCAUUUCCUUAGUAACGUAGCUAACGCGUGAAGUUGACCGCCUGGGGAGUACGGUCGCAAGAUUAAAACUCAAAGGAAUUGACGGGGACCCGCACAAGCGGUGGAUGAUGUGGAUUAAUUCGAUGCAACGCGAAAAACCUUACCUACCCCUGACAUGCCACUAACGAAGCAGAGAUGCAUUAGGUGCU
rnacentral:rRNA from 1 species